CGUCAAAGCUUAAUUAUAUACCCAAUAAAUCCCUCAAACAAACUAAAACCCUACAAUAAUACUGAAUAAUUCCAUACCUCUAUGGAAAACAUAAUGUUAAAACUAGUAACAUGAGGUUAAGACCCUUCUCUCAAAUGUAAGUGUAAAUCAGAAUGGAACAUACACUGAUAAUUAACAGCCUAAACUAAAGUAAUAAAUUAUUCAAGAAAACCCUACCAACUCACCUGUUAAUCUAACACAAGAACAUUUAAAGAAAGACUCAAAGAAAAAGAAGGAACUCGGCAAAACUGAUUCCGCCUGUUUACCAAAAACAUCGCCUCCUGAAUUUAGACUAUAGGAGGUCCAGCCUGCCCAGUGACUCUGUUUAACGGCCGCGGUAUUCUAACCGUGCGAAGGUAGCGUAAUCACCUGUUUUUUAAUUAAAGACCUGUAUGAAAGGCAUCACCGAGAAUCACACUGUCUCCUUUCUCAAGUCAGUGAAACUAAUCUCCUCGUGAAAAAGCGAGGAUAAUACUACAAGACGAGAAGACCCUUUGGAGCUUAAGACAAAAUAAAUACCUGCAUCUAUCUUACCCCCAACACCACACAGCAUCCUAUUUAUAAGUCUUGGGUUGGGGCAACCACGGAGUAAAAACAAACCUCCGAGCUGAACGGAAAUUUCCUAAACGAAAAGCAACAGCUUUAUGUAUCAAAAAACUGACAUAAUUUGACCCAAUAUAUUUGAUUAACGAACCAAGUUACCCCAGGGAUAACAGCGCAAUCCACUUAAAGAGUUCAUAUCGCAAAGUGGGCUUACGACCUCG
rnacentral:rRNA from 1 species